UAGAAUUCCAGGUGUGCGGUGAAAUGCGUAGAGAUCUGGAGGAAUACCGGUGGCGAAGGCGGCCCCUGGACGAAGACUGACGCUCAGGUGCGAAAGCGUNGGGAGCAAACAGGAUUAGAUACCUGGUAGUCACGCCGUAAACGAUGUCGACUUGGGAGGUUGUGCCCUUGAGGCGUGGCUUCCGGAGCUAACGCGUUAAGUCGACCGCCUGGGGAGUACGGCCGCAAGGUUAAAACUCAAAUGAAUUGACGGGGGCCCGCACAAGCGGUGGAGCAUGUGGUUUAAUUCGAUGCAACGCGAAGAACCUUACCUGGUCUUGACAUCCACGGAAGUUUUCAGAGAUGAGAAUGUGCCUUCGGGAACCGUGAGACAGGUGCUGCAUGGCUGUCGUCAGCUCGUGUUGUGAAAUGUUGGGUUAAGUCCCGCAACGAGCGCAACCCUUAUCCUUUGUUGCCAGCGGUCCGGCCGGGAACUCAAAGGAGACUGCCAGUGAUAAACUGGAGGAAGGUGGGGAUGACGUCAAGUCAUCAUGGCCCUUACGACCAGGGCUACACACGUGCUACAAUGGCGCAUACAAAGAGAAGCGACCUCGCGAGAGCAAGCGGACCUCAUAAAGUGCGUCGUAGUCCGGAUUGGAGUCUGCAACUCGACUCCAUGAAGUCGGAAUCGCUAGUAAUCGUGGAUCAGAAUGCCACGGUGAAUACGUUCCCGGGCCUUGUACACACCGCCCGUCACACCAUGGGAGUGGGUUGCAAAAGAAGUAGGUAGCUUAACCUUCGGGAGGGCGCUUACCACUUUGUGAUUCAUGACUGGGGUGAAGUCGUAACAAGGUAACCGUAGGGGAACCUGCGGCUGGAUCACCUCCUU
rnacentral:rRNA from 1 species